rnacentral:rRNA from 1 species
GACGAACGCUGGCGGCGUGCCUAAUACAUGCAAGUAGAACGCACAGUUUAUACCGUAGCUUGCUACACCAUAGACUGUGAGUUGCGAACGGGUGAGUAACGCGUAGGUAACCUGCCUGGUAGCGGGGGAUAACUAUUGGAAACGAUAGCUAAUACCGCAUAAUAUUGAUUAUUGCAUGAUAAUUAAUUGAAAGGUGCAAUUGCACCACUACCAGAUGGACCUGCGUUGUAUUAGCUAGUAGGUGAGGUAACGGCUCACCUAGGCGACGAUACAUAGCCGACCUGAGAGGGUGAUCGGCCACACUGGGACUGAGACACGGCCCAGACUCCUACGGGAGGCAGCAGUAGGGAAUCUUCGGCAAUGGACGCAAGUCUGACCGAGCAACGCCGCGUGAGUGAAGAAGGUUUUCGGAUCGUAAAGCUCUGUUGUAAGAGAAGAACGGGUGUGAGAGUGGAAAGUUCACACUGUGACGGUAUCUUACCAGAAAGGGACGGCUAACUACGUG